rnacentral:rRNA from 1 species
GACGAACGCUGGCGGCGUGCUUAACACAUGCAAGUCGAACGGAAAGGCCCUGCUUUUGUGGGGUGCUCGAGUGGCGAACGGGUGAGUAACACGUGAGUAACCUGCCCUUGACUUUGGGAUAACUUCAGGAAACUGGGGCUAAUACCGGAUAGGAGCUCCUGCUGCAUGGUGGGGGUUGGAAAGUUUCGGCGGUUGGGGAUGGACUCGCGGCUUAUCAGCCUGUUGGUGGGGUAGUGGCUUACCAAGGCUUUGACGGGUAGCCGGCCUGAGAGGGUGACCGGCCACAAUGGGACUGAGAUACGGCCCAGACUCCUACGGGAGGCAGCAGUGGGAAAUAUUGCACAAUGGGCGGAAGCCUGAUGCAGCAACGCCGCGUGCGGGAUGACGGCCUUCGGGUUGUAAACCGCUUUCGCCUGUGACGAAGCGUGAGUGACGGUAAUGGGUAAAGAAGCACCGGCUAACUACGUG